UACGUAGGGUGCGAGCGUUGUCCGGAAUUAUUGGGCGUAAAGAGCUCGUAGGCGGCCUGUCGCGUCGGUUGUGAAAGCCCGGGGCUUAACCCCGGGUCUGCAGUCGAUACGGGCAGGCUAGAGUUCGGUAGGGGAGAUCGGAAUUCCUGGUGUAGCGGUGAAAUGCGCAGAUAUCAGGAGGAACACCGGUGGCGAAAGCGACUUCCUGGACCAGUACCGACGUUCAGGCACGAAAGCGUGGGGAGCAAACAGG
rnacentral:rRNA from 1 species